rnacentral:misc_RNA from 1 species
CUCGAAAAUCUGCAUAACUUUUUACUGGGUGUACCGAUUUCAAUGAUUUUUAAUUUAAUCGAAAGCCGAUGUUUAUCAUGUAGUCACAUUUAAAUUUCAUCGAGAUCUGACUAAAACUUUUGGAGUAAUCUUUGAUAAUGCGUAUUUACUUGCCUAUUUUUUUCAUCUACCUACGUCGUAUUACUUGUCGAUAUAAUUGAAGUCGAUUUUUUUUCGUCUGCAACACAAUUAUUAUUAUAUAUAUAGAAACCAUAGAUCAAGUAAAAAAAAGUAGAUAAUGCGCGGCCUUUGUUGUUACUGAAGCCACAAAACUCGGCUCCUUCAAGUAAACACACGCGCUCACGCACACAUUUGCAUCAAACUACGCUCAUUUUCGUUAGUAUCUCACGGGGCCUCGUACAGUAACUUUGCCUUCAAAAUGCCGUUCAUAAGUAAUUAAAUGGUGCAAAAACAAUACCAAAGUGAAUAAAAAUCUGAAGAAAUAUCGUUUCACACGACCUACCGGAUGAGUCUUAAAUUAGUCGUUAACCAAGAUUCAAUCUUUGAUACACCUAGAAAACAUAAACUAAGAGAAAAGUUAAAAAAACAGGAACUUUAUUUAAAAAAAAAAUGUAAAAAAAUUAAAUCAUUACAGCAAAGAGUUAGACGUCUUUAAAACAGGAACUUGCCCUUCAGAGGAAUCAUCAAUUACUUAAAAACGCAAUUUUCAUUGACACAGAUUUAUAUAAUUCAUUAAAUCAAAACACGGCUGCAAUAGAUUUAUUUAACAAUUUGAAGCAAAAAAGGAGUAAAUAUAUUUAAAACUAUAA